rnacentral:rRNA from 1 species
AUGGAUCUUUGCCAACUUCUGGGUCAGGAGUUGGAUGCGCUGGAGAUUGAGACAGUACAGAAGGAGACAAUACAUCCAAGGAAGAGUUGCAAGAUGAACAGUUCAUGUGCAGAUGUCCUUUUUGCUGCACAUAGGUGGCAGAUGUCCAAACCAAGCUUAGUUUCUAAGUCAAAGGAUGUCUUCAAUCAGAAAGCCAGUAACAAGCACUGGAUUGAUGUGCAACCAAGAUGGGGAGACUAUGAUUCACGCGACAUAGAACGUUACGCAAGAGCAAAAUUUAUGGACUACACGACAGAUAAUUUGUCCAUCUACCGUUCUUCGACUGGGGUGAUGAUUGGACUUGAUCUAGCUUAUAAUUUGCACUCUGCUUUUGGUAAUUGGUUCCCUGGGUCAAAGCCCCUCCUUCAGCAAGCAAUGAACAAGAUCAUGAAGUCAAAUCCUGCUCUGUAUGUGCCGAGGGAGAGAAUAGGAAAGGGUCUUCAGUUGUAUUCAUCUGAACCCACCGCCCACCGAACCAUAUCUGUCUUCACAAAACCACGGUACGGAGAGAUAUUCAGCAAUCAAAUCAUAUGGUUUGUGGAUGACACAAAUGUCUAUCGAGUUACCAUUCACAAAACCGAGGGUAACCUGACGGCCAAACCAAUCAAUGGUGUUAUCUUUAUUUUCAAUCCAAGAACUGGUCAACCAACUAUGUCUGAAGGUCAUCCACACAAGUGUAUGGGCAGGACAAAGCAAAUUAUUGUGACAAAGGGAUUUGGCAUGACAUGCUAA